GGUCAAGCUACAAAGAGUGCAAGGGGAAUGCCUUGGCGCUGGGAGCCGACGAAGGACGCAGCGAUCUGCGAUAAGCCACGGGGAGCCGAAAGCAGGCAUCGAUCCGUGGGUUUCCGAAUGGGGCAACCCGGCUGGCGAAGAGCCAGUCAGCGUGCAGUGAAUACAUAGCUGCACGCGGGGAACCGCCUGAACUGAAACAUCUAAGUAGGGCGAGGAAAAGAAAUCAACAGAGAUUCCGCUAGUAGUGGCGAGCGAACGCGGAAAAGGCCAAACCAGGGGUAGUAAUAUCCCUGGGGUUCGGACGGCAGAAUGCAUCAGCAAGUUUUAGCCGAAGCGCAUGGGACGGCGCACCAGAGAGAGUGAGAGUCUCGUAGGCGAAAAGAUGAGCUGGCAGGCCGUAUCCAGAGUACCGCCGGUCACGUGGAACCCGGUGGGAACAUGGGGGGACCAUCCUCCAAGCCUAAAUACUACCCAGCGACCGAUAGUGAACCAGUACUGUGAAGGAACGGUGAAAAGAACCCCGGGAGGGGAGUGAAAAGAACCUGAAACCUUGCACUUACAAGCACCGAGAGCCCGUCAAUGGGUGAUCGGGUACCUUUUGUAGAAUGGUCCGGCGAGUGAAUGUAACCGGCAGGUUAAGCACCUCAGGUGCGUAGCCGCAGCGAAAGCGAGUCUGAAUAGGGCGCUUGCGUCGGUUGUAUUCGACCCGAAACCGGGUGACCUAGCCAUGCCCAGGCUGAAGUGGAGGUAAAACUCCAUGGAGGGCCGAACCCACUCCCGUUGAAAUGGUAGGGGAUGAGGUGUGGCUAGCGGAGAAAUUCCAAUCGAACCCGGAGAUAGCUGGUUCUCUCCGAAAUAGCUUUAGGGCUAGCCUCGGUAUUAACAUUCCCGGAGGUAGAGCACUGAAUGAGCUAGGGGCCGAGAGGUUACCGAACUCUAUCAAACUCCGAAUGCCGGUGAAUGAUGACCGGGAGUCAGACUGCGUGAGAUAAGUUUCGCAGUCGAAAGGGAAACAGCCCAGACCCACAGCUAAGGUCCCAAAGCAGAUUUAAGUGGAAAAGGAUGUGGGGUUGCACAGACAACCAGGAUGUUGGCUUAGAAGCAGCCAUACAUUUAAAGAGUGCGUAAUAGCUCACUGGUCGAGUGACCCUGCGCCGAAAAUUUAACGGGGCUCAAAAUCUGCACCGAAGCUUGGGAUGCGAAGCAAUUAACAAUGAUCAAUUCACAAUGAACCAUCGGGCGGCGGGAUGAAAACGAAACAUCCUGUGAAGGCGAAACGCAUGGCUUGCGCGAUGCGAAGGCCGCGCGUGAUGGAUUGUCAAUUGCCAAUUGUUAAUUGCUUUGCGUGGUAGGAGAGCGUUCUUUGCGGGGUGAAGUCAGAACGUAAGUGCUGGUGGACUGCAAAGAAGAGAGAAUGCCGGAAUGAGUAGCGAGAUUUAUGUGAGAAUCAUAAAGGCCGAAAGACUAAGGUUUCAGCAGGAAGGUUCGUCCGCUGCUGGUUAGCCGGGGGCUAAGGCGAGGCCGAAAGGCGUAGCCGAUGCACAUACGGUUGAAAUUCCGUAGCCGCCGAAAGAGUUAAGCCAAGGGACACCGGGAAAGUGUAGCGAAUGGGCGUUGGUUGCCCCGUUUGAUGCAUGGCCCCGGGCGAGAAAAGCUUGGUGUAUUUCUCAGGCGCCCGUACCGCAAACCGACACAGGUAGUCAGGAAGAGGAUUCUAAGGCCAACGGGAGAAGGGUAGUUAAGGAACUCGGCAAAUUGACCCCGUAACUUCGGAAUAAGGGGUGCCAGCGUGAGCUGGCCGCAGUGAAUAGGUCCAGGCGACUGUUUAUCAAAAACACAGCUCUCUGCUAAGUCGAAAGACGAUGUAUAGGGGGUGACACCUGCCCGGUGCUGGAAGGUUAAGAGGAGGGGUGCAAGCUCUGAAUUGAAGCCCCAGUAAACGGCGGCCGUAACUAUAACGGUCCUAAGGUAGCGAAAUUCCUUGUCGGGUAAGUUCCGACCCGCACGAAUGGUGUAACGAUCUGGACGCUGUCUCAACUGCCCGCCCGGCGAAAUUGUAGUACCGGUGAAGAUGCCGGUUACCCGCGGCAAGACGGAAAGACCCCAUGGAGCUUUACUGUAGCCUGAUAUUGGGUUUUGGUAUUUUAUGUACAGGAUAGGCGGGAGGCUUUGAAGCGAGGACGCCAGUUUUCGUGGAGCCAACCUUGGGAUACCGCUCUUAGAGUGCUGAAAUUCUAACCUGCGGCCGUGAAUCCGGCCGGGGGACAUUGUCAGGUGGGCAGUUUGACUGGGGCGGUCGCCUCCAAAAAAGUAACGGAGGCGCUCAAAGGUUCGCUCAGCACGGACGGAAACCGUGCCUUAGAGUGCAAACGCGUAAGCGAGCCUGACUGCGAGACUGACGGGUCGAGCAGGAACGAAAGUUGGAGUUAGUGAUCCGGCGGUAUGUGAAUGGAAAUGCCGUCGCUCAACGGAUAAAAGCUACCCUGGGGAUAACAGGCUGAUCUCCCCCAAGAGUUCACAUCGACGGGGAGGUUUGGCACCUCGAUGUCGGCUCAUCACAUCCUGGGGCUGUAUUCGGUCCCAAGGGUUCGGCUGUUCGCCGAUUAAAGUGGUACGCGAGCUGGGUUCAGAACGU
rnacentral:rRNA from 1 species